rnacentral:rRNA from 1 species
GAUGAACGCCGGCGGCGUGCCUAAUACAUGCAAGUCGAGCGAAUGGAUUAAGAGCUUGCUCUUAUGAAGUUAGCGGCGGACGGGUGAGUAACACGUGGGUAACCUGCCCAUAAGACUGGGAUAACUCCGGGAAACCGGGGCUAAUACCGGAUAACAUUUUGAACCGCAUGGUUCGAAAUUGAAAGGCGGCUUCGGCUGUCACUUAUGGAUGGACCCGCGUCGCAUUAGCUAGUUGGUGAGGUAACGGCUCACCAAGGCAACGAUGCGUAGCCGACCUGAGAGGGUGAUCGGCCACACUGGGACUGAGACACGGCCCAGACUCCUACGGGAGGCAGCAGUAGGGAAUCUUCCGCAAUGGACGAAAGUCUGACGGAGCAACGCCGCGUGAGUGAUGAAGGCUUUCGGGUCGUAAAACUCUGUUGUUAGGGAAGAACAAGUGCUAGUUGAAUAAGCUGGCACCUUGACGGUACCUAACCAGAAAGCCACGGCUAACUAUGUGCCAGCCGCCGCCGUAA